rnacentral:rRNA from 1 species
UACGUAGGCGGAUUAAUAAGUCAGUGGUGAAAUCUUUCGGCUCAACCGAGAAACUGCCAUUGAUACUGUUAAUCUUGAGUUCGGUUGAGGUAGGCGGAAUGUGUAAUGUAGCGGUGAAAUGCUUAGAUAUUACACAGAACACCAAUUGCGUAGGCAGCUUACUAGACCGACACUGACGCUGAGGCACGAAAGCGUGGGGAGCGAACAGGAUUAGAUACCCUGGUAGUCC